AAGAUUUUAAGUUAAUAAAACUAUUAGCCUUCAAAGUUACAAUUAUCUAUAAAGAUAGGUCUUA
rnacentral:tRNA from 1 species